UAGCCUCUCCUAGGCUUUGUCUGUCUGUUGUGACCGGAGACACUGCCUUGAGGAGGCCAUCC
rnacentral:pre_miRNA from 1 species